rnacentral:sRNA from 1 species
GUUAUGAGAAGAAUAAAGACUGGAAGGAAAAUGGGAGAAUGUUGGGGAGGGUUAGUUUGGGGUAAGGAAGGUGAGGACAGGGCAGGCCCCAACUGACAAGGAAACGUUUGAAUAAAGAGCCUAAGGAGGCAAGGCGGGGAGCCGCAUGGGUGUCUGGGGGUAAGAGUAUUCAAGGCAGAGGGCACGGCUGGGAUUGAUGCCCUGAGAUGGGAAUGGUUUUCCAUAUUCUAGGAGCACUGAGAGACCAAUGUGGCUGUAGUGAGAUCAAUCGGAGGGACAUAGGGAAGAGAGGAAUCCUAAGGGGUCAGGUCAGAGACGGCUUCCAGCAUUUGGAGUGUGAUGGGGCACCAUUGUAAGAUUCUAGGCGGGAAGUUUUCCUCUGGGUACUCCAUACCUUUGAAAGACCCCAGCCUCAAGUUCUAAGCAUGUGGUGGGAGGCUCCCACCUGGUGCAAUCCCCGCCUCAGCUCCUGAGAAACCCCUCAUGUGGCAUUUCCUGCUUGCCUCCCACUUGGGCCCCACAGGGAGAUGCGCUGGAACAAGGGCACCAUCCUGAAGGCCUCUGUGGAUUAUAUCCGCAAGCUGCAGAAGGAGCAGCAGCGCUCCAAAGACCUGGAGAGCCGGCAGCGAUCCCUGGAGCAGGCCAACCGCAGCCUGCAGCUCCGAAUUCAGGAACUAGAACUGCAGGCCCAGAUCCAUGGCCUGCCGGUACCUCCCACUCCAGGGCUGCUCUCCCUGGCCACGACUUCGGCUUCUGAC